GACGAACGCUGGCGGCGUGCCUAAUACAUGCAAGUAGAACGGAGUUGCAAACGGUUGAGUAACGCGUAGGUAACUGCCUGGUAGCGGGGGAUAACUAUUGGAAACGAUAGCUAAUACCGCAUACUACCAGAUAGACCGUCGUUGUAUUAGCUAGUUGGUGAGGUAACGGCUCACCAAGGCAACGAUACGUAGCCGAGCUGGGAGGGUGAUCGGCCACACAGGGACUGAGACACGGCCCAGACUCCUACGGGAGGGAGCAGUAGGGAAUCUUCGGACAUGGGGGGAACCCUGACCAGGCAACGACGCGUGAGUGAAGAAGGUUUUCGGGUCGUAAAGCUAUGUUGUUAAGGAAGCGGUACUUAACCAGAAAGGGACGGCUAACUACGUGCCAGCAGCCGCGGUAAUUC
rnacentral:rRNA from 1 species